rnacentral:lncRNA from 1 species
GGGAUGUGUUUAACUUUCCAUUUGUACUGCCCCUAUUGUUGAUUAAGGCUUAUCUACUGUUUGGUGUAAGUCAUUUAGAAAGAAAAAAAAAAAAAAGUUAUGGAACACAUAGCACCACGUUCCAGGCAAAUGCUUUAGCGAAGGCUGCUGUUAUGAAAAGGAUUUUCAAAUAAGGGGAAUAAUGAUCUUCAGAUUCUGACCUCCUGGCACAGCAGUGAGAUUUAUCAGGAGGGGCAUGUGACUAGUUAAGACACACAGCCCCAGCUUGAAGGAAACAGCUGCUCAUUUCGUGCUUUAGCACUUGGCAGCUGGACAAGGAAGGGUGAUGUUUGUGUUGAAUACCUCUGCAGAACCAAGUACAGGGAAACUCAUUGAAAAUACCGAGAUCUUUUUGCAUGCCUGCUUGCCUGUGAGCUCUGAGUCAUCGGCAACUUCUGCAGAUGUAAAACCACAGCACUGUGCAAGGCAAGCAUCCCUGAUUCAUGUGAGUGUGCAGUAGUUGGCAAUUUUCACGAGUUCCUAGGAUGGAGCAGCAACUCCUUCUGCUGUCAUGUGUGUCUGUUGCUGUCUUCUAGUGUAAUAUUUUAAUUUGCAUUCUCUCUUUAAAAAGCAAUUGCUCUCAAUUGAAUGGGGUGCUGCCACCAGGGAGUAAGAAGGGUUACUGAUCAUUAGCAACUGGUCCAGUCUUCUCGCCUUGUCUGGGACCUAUUAUCACAUCUGUGGAGAGAUAGCAGUUACAUGUGAACUGUUUUCUACAUUCAUCAAAGGGAAAACAAAAGAUCAUUCCAGUAGAAAUACACCAUAACAGCCAAAUGAGGGAAAGUGGCCAAAGUCCUCUCCUGCCCCUCUGUCCUUUUAACUCUGUCUUGCUCCAUCCCAGACAUCCAGCUUCCCAUUACCUAAGUCUCUGAAAGCCUCUUCCUGCCUUUAUUGUUUUGCCUGUUUGCCAGUUGCCUUCUAUUUACUACACUGAUAAGUACUUCCCAGGCCAUAAACAUGUGGUCGAGAUAUUUCUGAAGUUACCCCAUGUUUUGAUUGAUCUCACACUGGCAUGGGUACAGGUUGUGAAUUCAUGGGGAGAGAUGUAAGGUAUGGGAUAAUGGGGCUGAAGAGGAAAACAAACAUGCGCUUAACCAUCCCUCUUCACAAGGCAUUGCCCUUGCUUUUUGUAAAGUAACCGGUUGUUCUUCAGCUGGGGAAAUGCCAGAAACCAGAAAGCGUGAGAAAUUAGAUACAGUCCUUCAUGCUGGAAAUGAUGGCAGAUAGGUGGUAGGUGGUGAAGUCUCUCUUUGUUGGUAUCUGUGACUAUGGGUAUCUUUUCCUGAUACAACAUAGCUGCAGAGGUGGAGGAGGGAAGGGGCGAUAUGUUUUAACAUCUCGCUUUCUGGGACACUUAGCAAUAAUGUCCACGUUUUGCAUGACCAGCACAAUUCUGAGGAGUUUUAAGUGCUUGAGAAACUCCAUACAUGGCUGUAAU